rnacentral:rRNA from 1 species
UACAGAGGGGGCAAGCGUUGUUCGGAAUUACUGGGCGUAAAGGGCGCGUAGGCGGCCUGUUAAGUCGAACGUGAAAUCCCUGGGCUCAACCCAGGAACUGCGUCCGAUACUGGCAGGCUUGAAUCCGGGAGAGGGAUGUGGAAUUCCAGGUGUAGCGGUGAAAUGCGUAGAUAUCUGGAGGAACACCGGUGGCGAAGGCAGGUCUCUGGGCUGAUACUGACGCUCAUGCACGAAAGCGUGGGGAGCAAACAGG